UAUUCUCAACCAUGUCUUGAUUCAUUUCGAGGCAUGGCUUGGAUUUGGGAGCUUGCCGGCCUCGCGGUCGACUCUCCUUAAAUGCAUUAGCGAAUAGGUCGUGUCAGUGGGUCUGGCGGGCAAUCAAUAGCCUUUCGACGUGAUAACAUCGUAUAUCGGAGUCGAGGCUCGCGCGUCGGGUGUAAGACAUGUUCUCUGUUUGCUUCCAAUCCCCAACCUGCUUAGCUAGUAGUCGGUCGAUCUCUCCAGGAGAAGACGCCUUCGAACACGAAUGCAGACCAAUUUUGACCA
rnacentral:misc_RNA from 1 species